GAUGAACGCUGGCGGCGUGCCUAAUACAUGUAAGUCGAGCGAACGGACGGAAAGCUUGCUUCUCUGUUGUUAGCUGCGGACGGGCGAUUAACACGUGGCUAACCUACCUAUACGAAUGGGAUAACUCCGGGAAACCGGAGCUAAUACCUGAUAAUAUUUUGAACCGCAUGGUUAAAAAGUGAAAGACGGUCUUGCUGUCGCUUAUAGACGGAUCCGCGCUGCAUUAGCUAGUUGGUAAGGUAACGGCUUACCAAGGCAACGAUGCAUAGCCGCCCUGAGAGGGUACCAGGCCCCCCGGGAACGGACAAUCGCCUCGGACUCCUACGGGAGUCAGCAGUAGGGAAUCUUCCGCCAUGGGCGCAAGCCUGAAGGAGCAACGCCGCGUGCGUGAGGAAGCUCCUCGGAUCGUAACACUCUGUUAUUAGGGAAGAACAUAUGUGUCCGUGCCUGUGCACAUCUUGACGGUACCUAGUCAGAAAGCCACGGCUAACUACGUG
rnacentral:rRNA from 1 species